UGGCUUUAUUCCCCUUCUAUCGUUACUAAUCGACAUUGAUUAGUUAUAGCUAAGGCUAAAUUUACUGGACAAAAGUGAUGGCAAAAAGGGAUUUAAAAACAUUGAAAUAGCUGGAAACACCAUAUGAGGAAGGAAAUGCAUGUACAAUAAGAUGAAAACCAACUUAUAGGACAAAAAGAUGUUCAGGAUUAGAUUCCUCGGAAAACAAAGUUGAAUGGUG
rnacentral:misc_RNA from 1 species